AAAAACCAAAAGGUGGGACGGGGCUCCCCCAAGGGCCUCCCGCGAAGGAGGGUUUUCCCUCGGUGUACCCCUCUGGGGGAAUAAGGAGAGGGCAAGACUGGUGUCACCCGCCGCGGUAAUACCAGCUCUCCGAGUGGUAGGGAUGAUUAUUGGGCUUAAAGCGUCCGUAGCUGGCUUAGCAAGUCUCCUGUUAAAUUCAGCGACCUAAUCGUUGAGCCGCGGGAAAUACUACUAGGCUAGGAGGCGGGAGAGGUCGACGGUACUUCUGGGGUAGGGGUGAAAUCCUAUAAUCCCGGGAGGACCACCAGUGGCGAAGGCGGCCGACCAAAACGCGCCCGACGGUGAGGGACGAAAGCUGGGGGAGCGAACGGGAUUAGAUACCCCGGUAGUCCCAGCUGUAAACGAUGCAGGCUAGGUGUCGGGACGGUCACGAACCGGUCCGGUGCCGCAGAGAAGUCAUUAAGCCUGCCACCUGGGAAGUACGGCCGCAAGGCUGAAACUUAAAGGAAUUGGCGGGGGA
rnacentral:rRNA from 1 species